ACGAGGUAUGGAGAGUUGGUCAUUUGGCGCUCAUACCGGAUAGGAUAUGGGGACGACCCGCUUCAUCCUCAUACCGGACGGGGUAUUGAGGUUUAAUGUCUCUGCGCUCAUACCGGACGGGGUAUGGGGUCGGCUAUGUAAUUAAGAUUAUUAAAGAAAAUGGUUCAUAUAUAGUGGGGACACCCAUAUGGAUCCCUAUGGAUACUAGUAGGCUGGUGAAACGAGAAACGGUUACGAUUUCGUUUAUUGUUAAUAAAUAUGAAUUUAUGAUAUGUUCUAUGUUGCUGG
rnacentral:lncRNA from 1 species